AAUCCUUCUUCUGCUUGGGCGUUCCGUUUCCUGAUUCUUUUCCAAUCCGGUCUCCUGCCUCCCCACGCGUCGUUGGCCAGCGCCUAUAAGUACAAGGGCCGCGCCGUGCCUCCGUUCGCACAACCAGCUUUUCUCUCUCUGUUUCGUUCUCUCCAGCCCCAGCCGUCGCCCUCCUCUGCUUCGCGUUGGGGUUUCGCUAGGGCUUCCCUAGCGGCGAGAGGCGAGUUCGUCCGUCAUAUCAAGUUCUUGGGUGGAGGAGUUGCAGAUUCUCAUCUCGAGGAGAGGAGUUGGGCGUGCAAGAGUCGAUCUCAGCUCCUUCAUCGCCGGUGCAGACGGCCGUCAGGUUCAAAGCCCAUUUAGCAUUUUGUGGCCCAGUCGGCAAUAGUUGUUGGGCUGCUAGCUGUAGGCCUGGGAAAAAGGCUGGGACGUGAACCCGUUUUUGAGGUCAUCGAGGCAAAGCUCAAGCUCGGGAGAGGAUUAGAUAGCGAACCGGUACGCUAGCUUUUCACUUGGCGGUGGCAUCCCCAUGUAAAUUCAGUCAACUCUAACUUCUUUAUUUUCUGAGAUUUGGGAAAGACCAACUCCUCAACUCCUCGCUUUUUACACUACGACGCUCGCCAGCUUCUCGAUUGCUACUCUGCGGAGUCGGGGCGUUCGGCCCAGCUCCACUCGUGGAGUCGACGAAGCCAGGAUCUGGAGAGCUACUGAACACGCCCUAAAUAUACCUGGUUUUGCUACGGUUGGUUCCCCAACGCCCUCAACCCACAUGCUGUUUUGUGCUCCCUUUUUUGUUGGAAACUUACCCAAUUUAAUGGGGCAGAAGCACAUGGGUGGUGCCUAAAGAAACCCUAAAAAUAGCGAACGUGAAGACUAUUUGAAAGUAGGGAUGAAUGGCUGGACACCUCAUGUUGGUUAGCUUUAUUUGCCAUUGAUCCGGCGAAACAUGAAUUUGUACCUACAUUGUCACUCAUCACCGGGCAGCAUUUUUUGAGAUCUGUGCAUGUGAAGCCAUCCCGUUAAAAGAAUGCCAGCCUACGAGCAAGCUGUCCAAGAUUGAACUGACCAUGGAUUUAGAUGGACAAUGGUCUUGAGUCUCUCCUCAACAUGAAUUACUUUUAAUUUUAAAUGCUCUACGAGUGGCUUGUAUUUUAUUUUUGUUAGGAAAAUAUUAGGGUAAAACCCCAUUGCAGUUUUUAUAAAUAAUUAGAAUAACAAAGGUUAUUACAAGGCUAAGCCAAAAAAGGAAAAUAAAAUGGCUUAAAACUAGCUCUUAAUCGUCUUGGCUGAUUUAGCUCAUCGAAAAAAAAUCCUUCCACUUCA